rnacentral:rRNA from 2 species
GCUAAUCCUGGUCGGACAUCAGGAGGUUAGUGCAAUGGCAUAAGCCAGCUUGACUGCGAGCGUGACGGCGCGAGCAGGUGCGAAAGCAGGUCAUAGUGAUCCGGUGGUUCUGAAUGGAAGGGCCAUCGCUCAACGGAUAAAAGGUACUCCGGGGAUAACAGGCUGAUACCGCCCAAGAGUUCAUAUCGACGGCGGUGUUUGGCACCUCGAUGUCGGCUCAUCACAUCCUGGGGCUGAAGUAGGUCCCAAGGGUAUGGCUGUUCGCCAUUUAAAGUGGUACGCGAGCUGGGUUUAGAACGUCGUGAGACAGUUCGGUCCCUA